GCAUGCGAGUCGAGCGAGAACCCGCAAGGGGGACAGCGGCAAACGGGGUAGGAAUGGUCGGUAACGUACCCUUCGGACGGGGAUAGCCACGGGAAACUGUGGGUAAUACUCGAUAAACUCCUUGAACGUAACGGUUUAGGGAGCAAAGGUGAGAUUCCACCGGAGGAGCGGCUGACUUAGUAUUAGCUAGUUGGUGAGGUAAAAGCUUACCAAGGCAUCGAUGCUUAGGGGGUGUGAGAGCAUGGCCCCCACCACUGGGACUGAGAUACUGCCCAGACACCUACGGGUGGCUGCAGUCGAGAAUCUUCGGCAAUGGGCGAAAGCCUGACCGAGCGACGCCGCGUGUGGGAUGAAGGCCCUUGGGUUGUAAACCACUGUCAGGGGGGAUGAAAUGCGCGGGGGUACUCCCCUGCGUUUGACGGAGCCCCAGAGGAAGCACGGGCUAAGUUCGUGCCAGCAGCCGCGGUAAUACGAACUGUGCAAACGUUAUUCGGAAUCACUGGGCUUAAAAGGUGCGUAGGCGGCUUAUUAAGCAGGGUGUGAAAUCCCCCGGCUCAACCGGGGAAUAGCGCUCUGAACUGAUGAGCUUGAGUGAGGCAGGGGUGCGCGGAACUUCCAGUGGAGCGGUGAAAUGUGUUGAUAUUGGAAGGAACACCGGAGGCGAAAGCGGCGCACUGGGUCUUGUCUGACGCUGAGGCACGAAAGCCAGGGGAGCAAACGGGAUUAGAUACCNCGGUAGUCCUGGCCGUAAACGAUGAGUACUAAUGGGGAGGUCCGCGAGGGCUUUCUCACGGAGCGAAAGUUUUAAGUACUC
rnacentral:rRNA from 1 species